rnacentral:rRNA from 1 species
UGGGACUGAGACAUCGGCCCAGACUCCUACGGGAGGCAGCAGUGGGGAAUAUUGCACAAUGGGCGAAAGCCUGAUGCAGCGACGCCGCGUGAGGGAUGACGGCCUUCGGAUUGUAAACCUCUUUCAGCACGGAAGAAGCGAAAGUGACGGUACGUGCAGAAGAAGCGCCGGCUAACUACGUGCCAGCAGCCGCGGUAAUACGUAGGGCGCAAGCGUUGUCCGGAAUUAUUGGGCGUAAAGAGCUCGUAGGCGGUUUGUCGCGUCUGCUGUGAAAGCCCGGGGCUUAACCCCNGUGGUGUGCAGUGGGUACGGGCAGACUAGAGUGCAGUAGGGGAGACUGGAAUUCCUGGUGUAGCGGUGAAAUGCGCAGAUAUCAGGAGGAACACCGAUGGCGAAGGCAGGUCUCUGGGCUGUUACUGACGCUGAGGAGCGAAAGCAUGGGGAGCGAACAGGAUUAGAUACCCUGGUAGUCCAUGCCGUAAACGUUGGGCACUAGGUGUGGGGGACAUUCCACGUUUUCCGCGCCGUAGCUAACGCAUUAAGUGCCCCGCCUGGGGAGUACGGCCGCAAGGCUAAAACUCAAAGGAAUUGACGGGGGCCCGCACAAGCGGCGGAGCAUGCGGAUUAAUUCGAUGCAACGCGAAGAACCUUACCAAGGCUUGACAUACACCAGACCGGUCCAGAGAUGGUCCUUCCCCUUUGGGGUUGGUGUACAGGUGGUGCAUGAUUGUCGUCAGCUCGUGUCGUGAGAUGUUGGGUUAAGUCCCGCAACGAGCGCAACCCUCGCUCCUAUGUUGCCAGCACGUGAUGGUGGGGACUCAUAGGAGACUGCCGGGGUCAACUCGGAGGAAGGUGGGGAUGACGUCAAAUCAUCAUGCCCCUUAUGUCUUGGGCUGCACGCAUGCUACAAUGCCCGGUACAAUGGGAUGGCGAAUACCGUGAGGUGGGAGCUUAAU